rnacentral:lncRNA from 1 species
AGCGAGGGGCUGAGGCUCGACCAUGGCUGUCGCCCGAGGGCGACCGAGAGUCAGGCUAGCUGGUGGGGGCGUGUGAGGGCGGCUUUGCCUCCGCCUCUGCUCACUUCCUUUCUCAGGAAUGGUGGGCGCCGUCCCCACCCCUCACUGGCAGUGACGGUGGACAACAAAGGGGCUCGGGGUGGCGGCCAGACAAAGAGUUGCAGCGCCGGGGGAAGUUGGGAACAAAGGUAGGGGGCUGGGAGCUUCAGGGAGACGCGCUACAAGAACCCCAAAGCAGAAAGUGCCUUUGUCUCCUGGGCUGCCCAAACUUGCGGAAAGCCGGGUGGUCCUACCUCACCCGCCGCCCACCUGGGCCUGAUCGGCCGCGCUGGGACGAUGCCCUCACCGCGCAUCCAGCUGAGAGGGAAACAGGUCGGACCUGGGCAGCGCCCGAGGGAAAGCCUGGGUAGCCAGCGGCCGGCAUGUAAAGGCCCCGCCUCCUCAAAGGAAAGGCUGCUGGACCCAUGGAACAUGCCAGAAGAGAGGAGCAGACAGAUCUUAACAGGCCUGGCUCCUAGAGUAUCCUGCACUGGAUUCCUGGUGAUGAGCAAUGCGGAUUAAAGAUUAUGACAGCAGCAAAGUGUUUCCCGGAACAAUGCUUCAUAUGUGCCCCAGGGCAAUUCAGCUCUCUUUGAUUUCUCCUUCUGCAGCCCCUGGGGAUCGAAGAUGGAGACCAUUAAAGAAAACCAAACCAAGCCAGGCAUUGGUGGCACACGCCUUAAAUCCCAGCAAUCGGGAGGCAGAGGCAGGUGGAUUUCUGAGUUCGAGGCCAGCCUGGUCUACACAGUGAGUUCCAGGACAACCAGGGCUACACAGAGAAACCCUGUCUCGGAAAAAAAAGAAAGAAAGAAAGAAAGAAAGAAAGAAAGAAAGAAAGAAAGAAAGAAAGAAAGAAAGAAAGAAAGAAAGAAAGAAAGAAAGAAAGAAAGAAAGAAAACCAAAACCAAUCAAAACGCAGGUAUGGAGACCAGUUCCAAUGGACAGAUGGACCUCUAAGGUUCAAGGAGCUCUGUGGAAGGGGGUGGGGGUGGGGGGAGUAGAGAUUGUUAGAGCCAGAGGAACAGAAGUUUGGUGUUAUAAGAUUGUGUUUCCUAGGAAUGUCAGAAGCUACACACAUAAAGUCUCACCAACAUGGCUACCUAAAGGUGACCUGAACAAGGACAAUACCAACGAUAGCCAUGUUAACACAGAGGGGGAGGGAGCAAAAGAGGCCUCAGCCCUAGACUAAAGAAGAACUAAAGCAACUGAGGAGUACUGAGAGUGGAAGAAACAGUCUGCCCCAGAGAAGAGAGAGCAUGCCGGCUGGUUGUCCAGCACCAAGCAGUCAGCCCAGAAAACAUGCAUACAAGGAACAUUAUAGAUUGUAUUUAUGUACUAUGCAUUGUAGCCUCCCCAGCCUUGAGCAGGCUGAUUCAGACCUGUUCUGCCACUGUGAAUGAGACCACCUAGGGUGGAGUCUUCUGACCUAGAUAGGUCUAUUGUUCCGUCACCUGCACUGCUCUCCUCCAAGAUGCGGCUUCCUGCUGAGAGGCUGAACCUGUCUUCCUGAGAUAUUCCUGAGAUAAGAUGACAAGAUGGUGACUGACAACCUGUCCAUUGGUGACCUAGUGCUAACAACUUGGCAACAAAGCAUAAAGAUGCCUGGCGUGGCAGGGGAUGGGCCUCCUCCUUUAUAAGCACAGACUCUUAGUAAACAUUCGGCCUUGAUCA